rnacentral:lncRNA from 1 species
UGAAGUCUUUGAGCUUGUUGAGGUUUUGAGAUCCAAUACAGUUCUAGUACAAGGGAUUCGUCCUAUCAAGUGAUUAAGAUACUUUUAUUACUUGAAUAGACAGAGGGAAUGAGCAUAGUAAAAGGAUUUAAUUGAUUAAAACGAACUUUAUUCAACAUAAUUAAUUGGAAAAUCAAUGAACAAAGAGAUAAUGACUUGAAAACCCUAGGGAUUAAUAAGAUUAA